UGGGGAAUAUUGGACAAUGGGGGCAACCCUGAUCCAGCAAUGCCGCGUGUGUGAAGAAGGUCUUCGGAUUGUAAAGCACUUUCGACGGGGACGAUGAUGACGGUACCCGUAGAAGAAGCCCCGGCUAACUUCGUGCCAGCAGCCGCGGUAAUACGAAGGGGGCUAGCGUUGCUCGGAAUGACUGGGCGUAAAGGGCGUGUAGGCGGUUUACACAGUCAGAUGUGAAAUCCCCGGGCUUAACCUGGGAGCUGCAUUUGAUACGUGUAGACUAGAGUGUGAGAGAGGGUUGUGGAAUUCCCAGUGUAGAGGUGAAAUUCGUAGAUAUCGGG
rnacentral:rRNA from 1 species